rnacentral:rRNA from 1 species
CCUACGGGUGGCUGCAGUGGGGAAUAUUGGACAAUGGGCGAAAGCCUGAUCCAGCCAUGCCGCGUGUGUGAAGAGGGCCUUCGGGUUGUAAAGCACUUUCAGUGGGGAAGAAAGCCUUGGGGCUAAUACCCUCGAGGAAGGACAUCACCCACAGAAGAAGCACCGGCUAACUCCGUGCCAGCAGCCGCGGUAAUACGGAGGGUGCGAGCGUUAAUCGGAAUUACUGGGCGUAAAGCGCGCGUAGGCGGUCUGAUAAGCCGGUUGUGAAAGCCCCGGGCUCAACCUGGGAACGGCAUCCGGAACUGUCAGGCUAGAGUGCAGGAGAGGAAGGUAGAAUUCCCGGUGUAGCGGUGAAAUGCGUAGAGAUCGGGAGGAAUACCAGUGGCGAAGGCGGCCUUCUGGACUGACACUGACGCUGAGGUGCGAAAGCGUGGGUAGCAAACAGGAUUAGAUACCCGGGUAGUC